UUGAAAUAGCCAAACGCCUAUCUUAAAUUAUGCUUUACACUUUAUCGAUGCUGCAUGUGGCCUUUCAACAUUUUCCACAUCAGACAGACCGUGUGCUAUCACGACAAUAAAUUACAAGAUUAUAAUGCAAGAACGUUUCAAAACCCAGAACAGUAUAAGAACAACAAGUUGGUUCUUAUUUUAUAUUUUAGUAUAAGGAACUGUGUAAACUCAAAAAACAUUGCUUACCUCAGACGAAUCGGUGGCGGUUGGCAAUUAAAUCAAAUGUGCAGUCUAUGCGCGUGCGCAGAACUCCGACUCCUCCCACCAAGUUUUCAACCAGUUUGCAUCUGGAUCAGUUCAUCCAUUGGCUGGUUAAUUGUUUUGGCGCGAUUUACAUGAUCACGACAGCUUCUCGCGUCAUCUGAUUGGUUGAUUUGAGUCAGGUUCACGGGUUACUUUGGAUUCGAAAACUAUAUUCCCGCCCAGGAUUCUUCUCGUCUCUUCUUCAACGGCUGUUUUUAGAAGUCCUCCAAUCCACCAUCAGCGAGACCGAACUCCUCCAGUCCAGCUACAGAUAAGCUUCUGACCCAUUUCAGAGGAGGAACAUUGGCCAUGACCCAAAAGGACCACUAAAUCCUCAACUUUUUCUUGACACUUCUGCGGUGAGAAAAAUUCCCUAACAAAAAAAACGGUCAUAUCCAGAGAUGGCUUCAGCUUGCUCCGGAUUGGGAUGGAGGAAGAAGAGAACGGCUGAAGAGAAAGGAGAUGAUAAAUAGCUGUGCCUCUCAUUUAGAGCCUCAAUUGCUUAUGCGUGCGAACACAUACGAAAUACAUUCAUUUCCUUUUCAUGUGCACACACGCAGUUAUGUGUUAUGUUGUUUAUAAAGUUUAAUUUUGUCUUUCUUUGGUUUAUAACGUUUUCAUUUAGUCCGUAUUCGGUUUCAUUUUUUCAAGUGUUAAGGUACUGUUCAUUUAAAGUCUAAAGGUUUCCGUUUUACAUAAAAAUAUGUUCAACACAAUGUGUUCACUUUAUUUUUAUUUGUAAAUAAAAAAUGUUUAUUGAAAAACAAUUCAGGUAUUGGAAGUUAUUUUUUCACAUGAUUUUGGCAAUCAUAGGCUGUACUAUGGCUAAAUUUGGGGGUCUCUUUUU